GCUUCAAGAGCUCAGUUGGUUAGAAGGUGGUGCUGAUAACACCAAGGUUGCAGGUUCGAUCCCUGUAUUGGACAACUGCA
rnacentral:tRNA from 1 species